GCAGCGCAGCGUGGGCUAGAAGGGCCAGGGUCACGGGGCGAGCGAUUAAACCAUCAAUCACCCCCCGAUGCUGACAGCCACCCCUCACCUUGGACCCUCCGCCGUCUGCGAGCCCCGGGGCCAGCGGCAACUCAAAAACAGGCCUGGAGGCCUCCGAACCCUUCAAGGUAACAAGCCUCCGUGCUUUGCACUGGCUGUUCCCUCUGCCUGGAAUGCUCUUCCUCCACAUACCACGUGACUCCUCUUUGCCUGCUCCGGAGCUUCGUGCAGAUGUCACCUCCUCAGUGAGGACACCCAGUUAAAAGCGCCUGCCCCACCCACGCGGUUUUGUUGUUUCUCGAGCGGGCGCGCACCCCCACCUAAUGUACCGGAGGCUGUGUUUGCUGGGUCGGUCUGACCACCUCACUGGAGUGUCAGCCGGAGGGCAGGGGUGUAGCCCCUUCAUCGCCCGGCACAGCACCUAGCAUGAAAUAAACACUCAGUGAAUUCUU